GUAUCUUGACCGUGAUAAUGUAGCAUAAUCACUCCGCCACUUUAAUUAGUGGAUUGUAUGAAUGGUUGAACGAAUAUAACACUGUCUCAAGGCAGAGGAUUUAUAAAAUUGGAAUAAUAGUAAAGAUACUAUUAAAAAUUAUAAGACGAAAAGACCCUAUAGAGCUUAACUAUAAUUUCUUUAAUCUAUGAUAAAUUGAUUUAUUUAAAUAAAGAAAUUGGUAGUUUAGUUGGGGCGACUAUCUUCUAAAAAUAACGAAGAUAAACAAAAUUAAUUAAAUAAUUUAUUGUAUAAUUAAUAUAUUUAACAAUUAUAAGUGUAGGUAAUAAUGACCCGUUUUACUACUAGAAAAAAUAAAACGAUUAAUAAAUAAAAGCUACCUUAGGGAUAACAGGA
rnacentral:rRNA from 1 species